rnacentral:misc_RNA from 1 species
AAUUAAACUAUAGCAAUACCCUUGCAUUCAAGAUGUGGAAGAUUUUGGUUCUCCUUGUCGUAUUGGUGGUCGCCGUUCAAGGUAAUGUCUUUGCUUCGAUUUGAAUUUUAAAAAGAAAUUAUUAUUUUUUUAUAAAUAAAAAAAAGUAUUUUCUUUAAUUAAUGACAUGCUUUGAUUUAAAAAAAAAAUACAUAGAAUAAUGUAGAAAGCAUUUAGCCGUUAAUUAUAUAAAUUGUUUUUUCCACGAUAAGAACUUUUCUGUUUUCAUAUUUGAAGCCUUAAAAACUCUAUUUUGUUUAUAUCUUACAUUUACCUUUCAGAUACGGAAGGACAUCGUAAGUAAAUUAAAUUUAGAAAUACAAUCAAAUUUAUUAUACGAUAACACAAACAAUCAAAUUAAAAACAUACCUGUUGAUAUUAAAAUUACGAACAAAUAUGCAAAGUAUGUGUAGGGAAGGUACUAAAAUUUUUAUUAAGUAUAUAAUACGACUAUUUGCCCCCCCCCCCCCUCCCCUGCAGAGGGCGUUGGUUAUAAAUUGAUUUUGUUUACAUAAAAGAAAAGCGUUUCUCUUUAUGUAAUAUAUAUGGUUUGAUUAGCACAUGUUUUAAAAACUCUAUGGGUAAAAAAUUGCUACCAAAAUUGAUUCGCGGAAAAAGGUUUAUAAUCCCUUUCAAGGAAACUGCUAUAAAACUCUUUAGCAGGAAUGAUAUAGUUUGGUAAGAUACGGUAAAUUUACCGCAGUUAUCUUAAAAGAGUAUUAUCGUUUUAACAGUCCCUACAAGUAAAAUGUUAUAAUCAUUGACCAAAUCAUAGCGUAUAUGCCUUUAUUUUGGAAACGUUAUCUGCAUGGUGACAUGUAGUGAAAGUCUUUCAAUUUGACUUAUGGUUAAGACCAAAAAAGUACUGAUUGACUUAAGAUGGCGACACCAGUUGACUUGGUUUUACUAGACUGUGGCGCGUGUAGAUGCGAACAGUUGGACUUUGACGUUUUGGUCCAUCGUUCGUAAGCGUGACACGUCUAUAAGAGCCGGACCAUCAGAUUUGAUGUGACUAUCCAUUGUCUGGAAAGGUUGAAAAUUUACACAUAAAUGCUUUGACUAUAGACUGAUAAAAGCAUGAUUGUAGUGUCUGAUAUUUAUACAGCAUAAGUAUAUGUAAUUUGCGUACGCUACAAUAAGACGCGCAAGCAAAACAUGUUUUAAAAUGCUUUUGACGAUAAUUUGUAGUUUUGUAAAAUAUAUGUCAGUUCUAAAAAUAAUUUGUUUCAUAUUUUGAACUAGAUAGAAGAUAUUGUACAUAAAUGUACAAAUGUGCAAAUUUUUACCAAUGUAGUACAAAAAUUAAUUUUCUUUAUCGGAAUGUUUUUGAUAAGAUUAUUUUUCAAGUGCAUAUUUCGCAUAACAAAGGCAAAAAUAACAUUGAUUCUUUAAUUAAUAUACAGGAUAUCAUCAUCAUCACGUACAUCAUCACCAUCAUGGAAGAUGGCAUCACCAUGGUCACCAUGGAUGGCAUCAUCGUCACCACCAUCGUCACCACCAUCAUGGACGAUCGCUGGAUGAGGAUGAACAAAAGUUUUACGAAAACCUAGCAGAGAAUGUUGGCAAUAAAAUUGAAUGAUGUUGACGUGCCUUUAUGAAUGUCACUUGUUAUGUGCAAUAAAAGGCUGAAUACACUC